UACGAAGGGUGCGAGCGUUGUUCGGAAUCACUGGGCGUAAAGGGCGUGUAGGCGGUCCGCUAAGUCUGAUGUGAAAGCCCGGGGCUCACCCCCGGAAGGGCAUUGGAAACUGACGGACUCGAGUCCCGAAGAGGAGGGUGGAAUUCCUGGUGUAGCGGUGAAAUGCGUAGAUAUCAGGAGGAACACCGGUGGCGAAGGCGGCCCUCUGGACGGUGACUGACGCUGAGACGCGAAAGCGUGGGGAGCAAACAGG
rnacentral:rRNA from 1 species